UUUUGAUCAGAACCUGUCUCCUAUAUGCAUAUCUAUCAGAAUUAAAUAGGUGGUCAAAAACUGUCGACAAACUAAUGUAUGGGCCUGGUCGUAAAGUGCAGUCUAAAUUUCCAUUGUAGGGACCGUACAACUCUCGUCCUUGCCAGUACGUGUGCGUGAUCCAGGCAAUGUCAAGUACGCCCACCGCUUACUAUUGCUAAUAUUCACCCUUAACAUCCGCUAGCCCAGUCCGUAACAAUGCAAGAUAACUGCCACCAUUAACAGUCUACAAAGAUACUCCGAAAAUGAGGCGCACUCUUUGGCACAUGCUCACGGCCCAGCUCCUGCUCCUGGUACUCUGUUCGCUGCUCUCUCUCUGCUCCGGCGGCAAUAUGCAUCCUUUGAAAGUGGGCAAAAACUAUGCGUCGCUGCACAACCAGCCCAAGGACUUUCGCUCUUUAGUGAUGGAUAUUAGCAAGUUUGUUCUCACUAUUGUGAGCAGAACGCGUUGAGUCACGUUUUUUUUUGUUUAUUGUUAAUUUUUUUUGAGCACGUAUUCCUUAUUUAUAGAAAGCAAAAGCUUUUUCCUCCAUCUAAUCUGUCCAAAGAUCUGACUAGUACCAUAUCUAUUACUAAGCUGGCGUCGAGAUUUGAAUUCCAAUCUGAGUCCUGCCCCCCAUUCAAUUCAGAGUUCCAAAAUUCUCCAUUAAAGACCGACAGAAAGGCCAGCGACCAGCAGAUCAGUGCAGAGACCGACAAUCAUUGCCAAAGCAACGCAAAGCCUGGCCUCGAACUGAAUUUACAAUAAAAAUUCUUAAUUCUUGGUACAAAAAUUUCUGUAUUUAGCUGAUGAAAAUAAUUU
rnacentral:sRNA from 1 species